rnacentral:rRNA from 1 species
GAACGCUGGCGGCGUGCUUAACACAUGCAAGUCGAACGAAGACAUCUGAGUGCUUGCACUUGGAUGGACUGAGUGGCGGACGGGUGAGUAACGCGUGGGUAACCUGCCUUGUACAGGGGGAUAACAGUUGGAAACGGCUGCUAAUACCGCAUAAGCGCACAGCAUCGCAUGAUGCAGUGUGAAAAACUCCGGUGGUAUAAGAUGGACCCGCGUUGGAUUAGCUAGUUGGUGAGGUAACGGCCCACCAAGGCGACGAUCCAUAGCCGACCUGAGAGGGUGACCGGCCACAUUGGGACUGAGACACGGCCCAAACUCCUACGGAAGGCAGCAGUGGGGAAUAUUGCACAAUGGGCGAAAGCCUGAUGCAGCGACGCCGCGUGAGCGAAGAAGUAUUUCGGUAUGUAAAACUCUAUCAGCAGGGAAGAUAAUGACGGUACCUGACUAAGAAGCACCGGCUAAAUACGUG